UACGUAGGGUCCGAGCGUUGUCCGGAAUUAUUGGGCGUAAAGAGCUCGUAGGCGGUUUUUGUCGCGUCUGCUGUGAAAUCCCGAGGCUCAACCUCGGGUCUGCAGUGGGUACGGGCAGACUGGAGUGCGGUAGGGGAGAAUGGAAUUCCUGGUGUAGCGGUGGAAUGCGCAGAUAUCAGGAAGAACACCCGUGGCGAAGGCGGCUCUCUGGGACGGUACUGACGCUGAGACGCGAAAGCGUGGGGAGCGAACAGG
rnacentral:rRNA from 1 species